UCAGCUUGCAUUUUGUGAGAUCAAGCUUUGUUGAGAUCGGUAAGGUAUGAGGGUGGUAGAGAGGAGUCAUGGCAAGAUCGUUUGCAGCCAAGAGUUUGCUGCUCGUUUCCGUCUUUUUUUUUAUGGUUGGAGUAUCUACAGGUUUUGCCAUGUCUUUCACUUCUGCUCUUUCGUAUGCUAUGCAAAUUCUGUCCAUGAUGACCUUGCAUGGCCUUUUGGUAGUAUGCUAUGGUAUUAGUGUCCUUGCAUGGCCUAUUACUGCUGUUUUAGUUACUCAUGAGCUUCUAAACGGUGACCCUGCGUGGUCUAAGGUGUUUGAUAUAUUUUGUUAAUAUCCUCUGGAAUGCAGUUACACCUGAACUUGGAUCUAAAAUCUUUUUUGUCAGAAAUGUUUGGUAGAGUUUUUCUUGUACUUUA